UGCUGUCAGACUAGCCCAACCCACCAUCAGCUUCUGCCUCCUCCUCUGCUGGUCUCACUCAAUCAAAGCUCCCCUUCAGUCUGGCUCAUAUACAGUUUGACCAUUGUCACCUCGCUGGUUAAGAACAGGACUGUGACAUGACCGGGCAAAUGUUGGAAAUGCAGGGGGAGGAGGGUAAAUUGGAAAUGAAGAACGGGAAUGGGACCCUUUCUCAAGUAAAUAAUACCACUGGACCGGACGGGAAUACCCACCCGGGAAUGGUACUCCACCACCACCUUCAUAUGGUCACAGUCUACAUUACGGACAUGGCGGACAACAAAGCCCUGGCAUGGCAGCUGCAGCGGGGCCAGGCGCUCUGUCUAGCAACAUGAUGGACCCGUAUUAGGCAAACGACCACGGCUUCCCUAACCACCACUUUAACAGCUAAGGCCCGUUUCCGAGCCGGACGCCCUACCCCGGCCAAGGCUACGCCGUGAACUCCCCGCGCAAUCCUCCGGCUCAGGCGGCAGAGGGGCAGGCAGCCAAGCCACAGCCAGCGGGAGGAUCCACGGCUAUGGCUGCAUCGUACAAUAAUCAGAGGUAUACUAUGGGAAAUCCACAGCUCACGUCCACCCCGACUCUCAACCAGCUCCUAACUUCCCCGAGCUCCAGCCGGGGAUACCCGAAUUACCCCCAGAGCGACUACAACAACCAGGAAGGUGCUAACAAGGGACCAGCGGAGAUUGGCAGUAGAGGACAGUAUGGUUGAUGGUGCAUACACAAGCAGACGGAGCAUAAUGAUGAAGAUGAAGGCCCUGAUAAACAGUCACUGCUCAGUCUUCACCAAAGUGCUUUUGUUUAGUUGUAUGUACUGCUUGUUAAUUACAGACAUUAUUUCUCUGUAAAACUAAUAGGUUUGCCAUGCUGAUCAGCAUCCUGUAUGCACUUUAUUUGUUUUUUACAUUGAAAUAAAAAUGGAUAAAAAUU